GAAAUGCGAUAAGUAAUGUGAAUUGCAGAAUUCAGUGAAUCAUCGAAUCUUUGAACGCACCUUGCGCUCCUUGGUAUUCCUUGGAGCAUGCCUGUUUGAGUAUCAUGAAAUCUUCAAAGUAAAUCUUUUGUUAACUCAAUUGGUUUCUACUUUGGUAUUGGAGGUCUUUGCAGCUUCACACCUGCUCCUCUUUGUUCAUUAGCUGGAUCUCAGUGUUAUGCUUGGUUCCACUCGGCGUGAUAAGUUAUCUAUCGCUGAGGACACUGUAAAAGGUGGCCAAGGUAAAUGCAGAUGAACCGCUUCUAAUAGUCCAUUGACUUGGACAAUACUUUUAUGAUCUGAUCUCAAAUCAGACAGGACUACCCGCUGAACUUAAGC
rnacentral:misc_RNA from 1 species